GGAGUCUGGGCCGUGUCUCAGUCCCAAUGUGGCCGAUCACCCUCUCAGGUCGGCUACUGAUCGUUGACUUGGUGGGCCGUUACCUCACCAACUAUCUAAUCAGACGCGAACUCACCCUAUACUGGAUUGCUCCUUUCACCCCUGCACCAUGCGGUGCUGUGGUCCUACGCGGUAUUAGCACAUCUUUCGAUGCGUUAUCCCCCUGUAUAGGACAGAUUAUUCACGCGUUACUCACCCGUCCGCCACUCGAAUCAUCCAAUAGCAAGCUACCAAAUGACCCUCGUUCGACUUGCAUGUGUUAAGCACGCCGCCAGCGUUCGUCCUCGAGCCAUGAUCAAACUACU
rnacentral:rRNA from 1 species